GCAUUGCUGACGAGCCCCAAACAGGACGAAACAGCUGUCCAGUGC
rfam:Echinostoma caproni strain Egypt genome assembly, scaffold: ECPE_scaffold0000287